UGUAGGCUUAGGCUUAGGCUUGGGGAUAGGCUUAGGCUUUGGUUUAGGCUUAGCUUUAGGUUUAGGCUUAGGCUUA
ensembl:ncRNA Y46E12BL.7 ncRNA